rnacentral:misc_RNA from 1 species
AUGAAGAACGCAGCGAACGUGCGAAACGUAAUGUGAAUUGCAGAAUUCAGUGAAUCAUCGAAUCUUUGAACGCAUCUUGCGCUCCUUGGUAUUCCGAGGAGCAUGCCUGUUUGAGUGUCGUGAAUACUCUCAACUUCAACCCUUUUUUCGGAAAGGGAGGAAGGUUGGACUUGGGUGUUUGUUGAAGUGCGAGCUUCGACUCAUCCUAAAUGCAUUAGCGAUCUGCCUCGAUCACACACAAUGUGAUAAUUAAAACUAAAGCAUUGUUUAAUGAUCAAGUCGAGACUGCUUCUAACUGUCGCAAGACAAUAACGUGCAUACAUUUGUGCAUGUCAUUUGACCUCAAAUCAGGUAGGACUACCCGCUGAACUUAAGCAUAUCAAUAAGCGGAGGA